AAUGACCGGUUCCUGUUAGAUCAUCGAAGUCAAGCAUCAUUGGGCGCUGUCAGUACUUGGGUGGGUGACCACCUGGGAACACCGCGUUG